rnacentral:tRNA from 1 species
GAGGGUAUAGCUCAGUGGUAGAAUGUAUGCUUAGCAUGCAUGAGGCCCUGGGUUCAAGCCACAGGACCUCCA